AGUGCAACAUAUAUACACACGUCAGUAGUACAAGUAAAUAUAUACAGGUAGUAGCAGCCUGAUAAUAUUCGAACUCUUUAGAUAGUGGCCCUCCAGAAGCAGGAUUGUGUGUAUGAUUUUGGCAUUACAUAGAGAGGAACAACUGUGUAGAGGGAGGGGACAUCUUUAUUCACUGAUCAGUAAAACAAUUUGCUCAAUGAAUGAGCAACGUCCUCUACAAUAAACAUCAGCAUCAUCAUCAUCCAAAGUCUACAAUACCAAUUUAGCAGCAACAUGUUAACACGGGGGAAACAGAGUGGUAACAAAGUAGUAUCAUUUAGAAAAAAGUCACAGUUUUUCUUUCUAUCUGUAUCAUUAAAAAGGAUUUGCAAGGAGGGUAUUUUAAAAAGAGGUUUAUUGACUGCUAUGGACGCUACGGUUAUUGUUUUGAGCUAUGGCAUGUGCUCUGUACAGAAUACAUGGGGAGAUUUUAACUAUACAUUUAAACCCUAAUAUAAAGCACAUCUGUGUCACCAUACAAAUUUUUAGGAGAUUCAACAAAAAUAUACAAUGUUUUCACUUCACAUUUGAAGAUUUAUAACACCACUAAGUUUUUUUUUUCUCGUUUUUCUCUUCUUUUUUUUAAUGGUAAAUACAACAGUCUCAUUGGUCAAACCAACCGAAUGAAGGAGACACAACGUUAGUUAUUCUACUCAGUAAGCUAUGAGUGAUUUAAAUUGGUAAAAGGAUGAAUAUAAAUUAAUAUAUAUUAAGAAAUUCCAACUGUAACUCCAGGGAAAUGAAGGGCUAUACCGAGUAUAAGUAAUGUGACAGUAUUUUUGAUACAAUAAAUACACAUGGUUUAUAAUGUGGAUCGUGUGUGUGUGUGCGUGUGUGUGCAUGCUGGAAGAGCUCCUGUGUCCAAUUAUUGGGAUGUGUGUGUGUGUGUGUGUGUGUGUGUAACGAAUAGGAGCAGCUAUGAUAGUGUGUGUUUAUGUGGAACACUGUAAAGAAGUAGGAGAAGAGACGAAACCCCUUGUAGUCUCCAUAGUGAUACUUUCUCACCUUCACAAAGUCCAGGUGAAAUGAGUUGAGGCAGUCUAGAAAACCCACAUAAAAGAAUGGCACAAAAAAGUGAAAUGCGUCAACAGGAUGUGUUUGCUUUCCAUUCUGGUCUGAGGUGAGUUUGCCAAAAAAAAAAAA